rnacentral:rRNA from 1 species
AUUGAACGCUGGCGGCAGGCCUAACACAUGCACGUCGAACGAAUGGCAGACGGGUGAGUAAUGUCUGGGAAACUGCCUGAUGGAGGGGGAUAACUACUGGAAACGGUAGCUAAUACCGCAUACCAUCAGAUGUGCCCAGAUGGGAUUAGCUUGUUGGUGGGGUAACGGCGCACCAAGGCGACGAUCCCUAGCUGGUCUGAGAGGAUGACCAGCCAGCAUGGAACUGAGACACGUGCCAGACUCCUAGGGGAGGCGGCAGUGGGUAAUAUGGCACAAUGGGCGAAAGCCGGAUGCAGCCAUGCAGCGUGUAUGAAGAAGGCCUUCGGGUUGUAAAGUACUUUCUGCGGGGAGGCGUUACCCGCAGAAGAAGCACCGGCUAACUCCGUGCCAGCAGCCGCGGUAAUAC